GCUGGUGUAGCUCAAUGGUAGAGCAACUGAUUUGUAAUCAGUAGGUUGUGGGUUCAAGUCCAAUCACCAGCUCCA
rnacentral:tRNA from 1 species